GAUGAAGAACGUAGUAAAAUGCGAUAAGUAAUGUGAAUUGCAGAAUUCAGUGAAUCAUCGAAUCUUUGAACGCACAUUGCGCCCGCCAGUAUUCUGGCGGGCAUGCCUGUUCGAGCGUCAUUUCAACCCUCAAGCUCAGCUUGGUGUUGGGACUCGCGGUAACCCGCGUUCCCCAAAUCGAUUGGCGGUCACGUCGAGCUUCCAUAGCGUAGUAAUCAUACACCUCGUUACUGGUAAUCGUCGCGGCCACGCCGUAAAACCCCAACUUCUGAAUGUUGACCUCGGAUCAGGUAGGAAUACCCGCUGAACUUAAGCAUAUCAAAAGCGGAGGA
rnacentral:misc_RNA from 1 species